rnacentral:rRNA from 1 species
UACAGAGGGUGCGAGCGUUACUCGGAAUGACUGGGCGUAAAGGGCGCGUAGGUGGAUAAUUGUGUUGGAUGUGAAAGCCCCGGGCUUAACCUGGGAAUUGCAUACAAAACUGGUUAUCUAGAGUGGAGCAGAGGUGAGUGGAAUUUCCGGAGUAGCGGUGAAAUGCGUAGAUACCGGAAGGAACACCAGUGGCGAAGGCGACUCACUGGGCUCAAACUGACACUGAGGCGCGAAAGCGUGGGGAGCAAACAGG